UACAGAGGUCUCAAGCGUUGUUCGGAUUUAUUGGGCGUAAAGGGUGCGUAGGCGGCCGACUAAGUCAGAUGUGAAAUCCCUCAGCUUAACUUGGGAACUGCGUCUGAUACUGGAUGGCUUGAGUUUGGGAGAGGGAUGCGGAAUUCCAGGUGUAGCGGUGAAAUGCGUAGAUAUCUGGAGGAACACCGGUGGCGAAGGCGGCAUCCUGGACCAACACUGACACUGAGGAGCGAAAGCCAGGGGAGCAAACGGG
rnacentral:rRNA from 1 species